rnacentral:rRNA from 1 species
UGAGGAAUAUUGGUCAAUGGGCGCGAGCCUGAACCAGCCAAGUAGCGUGAAGGAUGAAGGUCCUAUGGAUUGUAAACUUCUUUUAUAGCAGAAUAAAGUGACCCACGUGUGGGUUUUUGUAUGUAUGCUAUGAAUAAGGAUCGGCUAACUCCGUGCCAGCAGCCGCGGUAAUACGUAGGGGGCAAGCGUUGUCCGGAUUUACUGGGUGUAAAGGGUGCUCAGGCGGAUUUGUAAGUCAGAGGUGAAAUCUUACAGCUUAACUGUGAAACUGCCUUUGAUACUGCAAGCCUAGAGUAUGGAAGAGAGUGAUGGAAUAUCUGGUGUAGCAGUGAAAUGCGUAGAUAUCAGAUAGAACACCAAUGGCGAAGGCAGUCACUUGGUCCAUUACUGACGCUAAAGCACGAAAGCGUGGGUAGCAAACA